rnacentral:tRNA from 1 species
GCCCGGGUAGCCAAGCGGUUACGGCGGCAGCCUGGAAAGCUGCUCUCCAUUUGGAGGCAAGAGUUCGAAGACUUCGACGCAUGUCAGGUCGAACAUAUCCCUUCCCGGGCGCCA